rnacentral:rRNA from 1 species
AGUAAUACGUGGGUAACCUGCCCAGAAGCAGGGGAUAACACCUGGAAACAGAUGCUAAUACCGUAUAACAGAGAAAACCGCCUGGUUUUCUUUUAAAAGAUGGCUCUGCUAUCACUUCUGGAUGGACCCGCGGCGCAUUAGCUAGUUGGUGAGGUAACGGCUCACCAAGGCGAUGAUGCGUAGCCGACCUGAGAGGGUAAUCGGCCACAUUGGGACUGAGACACGGCCCAG